GAUUAACGCUGGCGGCGUGCCUAACACAUGCAAGUCGAGCGGCAGCGAGUUUUACACUGAAUUCUGGAAGCUUCUAGUUGAAAGAGAAGAUUUAUUCAAGAAUUUUGUGUAAAAUGUCGGCGAGCGGCGGACGGCUGAGUAACGCGUGGGAACGUACCCCAAAGUGAGGGAUAACGCAUCGAAAGGUGUGCUAAUACCGCAUAUGGUCUUCGGAUUAAAGCCUUCGGGCGCUUUGGGAACGGCCUGCGUAAGAUUAGAUAGUUGGUGGGGUAAUGGCCUACCAAGUCGACGAUCUUUAACUGGUUUGAGAGGAUGAUCAGGCAGACUGGAACUGAGACACGGUCCAGACUCCUACGGGAGGCAGCAGUGAGGAAUCUUCCACAAUGGGCGAAAGCCUGAUGGAGCAACGCCGCGUGCAGGAUGAAGGCCUUCGGGUUGUAAACUGCUUUUAUAAGUGAGGAUUAUGACAGUAACUUAUGAAUAAGGAUCGGCUAACUACGUG
rnacentral:rRNA from 1 species